rnacentral:rRNA from 1 species
GACGAACGCUGGCGGCGUGCUUAACACAUGCAAGUCGAACGGAAAGGCCCUGCUUUUGUGGGUUGCUCGAGUGGCGAACGGGUGAGUAACACGUGAGUAACCUGCCCUUGACUUUGGGAUAACUUCAGGAAACUGGGGCUAAUACCGGAUAGGAGCUCCUGCUGCAUGUUGGGGGUUGGAAAGUUUCGGCGGUUGGGGAUGGACUCGCGGCUUAUCAGCUUGUUGGUGGGGUAGUGGCUUACCAAGGCUUUGACGGGUAGCCGGCCUGAGAGGGUGACCGGCCACAUUGGGACUGAGAUACGGCCCAGAAUCCUACGGGAGGCAGCAGUGGGGAAUAUUGCACAAUGGGCGGAAGCCUGAUGCAGCAACGCCGCGUGCGGGAUGACGGCCUUCGGGUUGUAAACCGCUUUCGCCUGUGACGAAGCGUGAGUGACGGUAAUGGGUAAAGAAGCACCGGCUAACUACGUG